UACAAGGAUAGGCAGCUUUCAUUGUAACCAAAAACAAAAACAGAAAAAAUAAAAAGGGUGCCUGACCAGGUGAACCUGACAACACAAUGACCACAGCAUUGCAGAGCCAAAUGGAUAAAACAAUAAUUACAGUCUGGACUGUGAAGGCCACCAAAUACGGAAAAGGGAUUAACAAAUGCCAACAG